GAACAGAUUUCUCAAAGUGUCUUCUUUGACAUCGAUGCCCUCUUCGCCACCCAAUCUGACCUACCCGUGGUCGACGGCGAGGGCAGGUGCAUCGGGGUCGUCUACUAGGGCAUCCAAUGGGGGAGGACUUGCUGACCACAAGCAACAACCUGGAGCUCCUCUCUGCAACUGCUACAGGGAAAGCCGCUGAGGCGGCCCAAGAAUUUUGGAACUGCACGUGUGUUCCCAUGCAAAAAAUUCUAACAUGGCUCACACGCGUUGCGUCUGCUGCACCCUCCACAUCAAGAAGAUGGUAUGCUCCUUCAGCGUCUGCCUCACCGCUCGCGUACGCAACCGACCCUGAACUGGCGGCAGCAUUCCGUGGCCCAGAGGUUAUUGCGGCUCUUUAAGAUGUGAUGAGCAACCCUGCCAACUUCGCAAAGCACCAGGCAAACCUAAAGGUGGGUUCCAUCAUAGCGAGGAUGGUGGCGAAGGUCAAGGGGAACCGGUGAAAGCCCCAUGAGCGCUCGUGAUCGUGAUUAGCAGGGAAAAAGCUCUCUGGUUCUAGGUGUUGCCAUGGGAGCACCUGCUGACCACAAGCAUCAACUUAGACCCCCUCUCCACACCUGAUGCAGGCAUUCAAUUUGGCUUUGUGACGGUGGCACGGAUUUUCUGCUUCUGAGUUAUUGAUGGGCAAGCAACCCUGCCAGCCAACUUCGGCAAGCACCGGCAAAACCGAAGGCGGGUUCCAUCAUAGAAAAGAUGGUGGCGAAUGUCAAGGGGAACCGGUGAAUGCUCCAUGAGCUAUCAUGACUGUGAUUAGCAGGAAAAAAGCUAUCCGGUUCUAGGUCACCAUUCUACCUUGAUGGAAAAGGGGCCUCCUUGAGUUCAUAGAGACGACUGGUUAUAUGGUAUUUCUGGUGGCUUUGGGUGCUGGCCACAAGAUCUCAUCGCCCAAGGCAUGAAUUGUGUGGACCUCACCGUGAUCAGAAACUGGCUGAAUGAACUUAUGAUAGCAAAACUGGCUGAUUAGAAUCAUUGCUUAAUCCCAUUCUACCUAGAUGGAAAAGGGGGCCUCCUUGAGUUCGCAGAGACGGCUGGUCAUAUUGUCAUUGUGGUGGCUGAGGGUGCAGCCCAGACCUCACCGUCUCUCCCUAGCCCCGGGAGGACCUGCUGACCACAAGCAUCAACUUGGACCCCCUCUCUGCAACUGCUGCAGUGAUGAGCAAGCAACCCUGCCAACCAACUUUGGCAAGCACCAGGCAAACCGAAGUUGGGCUCCAUCACAUCAAAGAUGGUGGUGAAGCUUAAGGGGAACCGGUGAAUGCUCCACGAGCUCUUGUGAGUUGUGACCAUGAUCAGCAGGAAAAAAACUCUCCAGUUCUAGGUGUUGAAAUAGAACCCUUGACUUCAGUUGGUCAUAUGGUCAUUGUAGUCGCUGAUGAUGCUGUCGACAAGAUCUCAUCGCCCAAAGUAUGAAUUGUGUGGACCUCACCAUAUAUUCCAUGGUUCAGGUCCGCAUCCUUGUUGGAAUGUUGUGUUCACUGGAGAGACCUGACUUGGUUCCUUGGAUAUUGUCGAUAACCGGAGAGAAUAACCACGUGGAAGUCGUGGUUUGUUGUUACAUGGCCAGGGAUCUUUAGGAUAUUUAUGCUCAAGGGCUGUAAAUGUGGAGACGGUUGUCAAAGUGAGGAGCAUGAGUCAAGAGAAGUCAUAAGAACCCUUGACUUUGGUCACAAGUACCAUGCCGUGAUUGUUGCUUAAUCCCAGGGUCGCCAUUCUACGUUGAAGGAAAAGUGGGGCUCUGCAACUUCAUACAGAAGGCUGAUCGUAUGGUCAUUGUGGUGGCUGGCGAUGCUAGCCAUAAGAUCUCAUCGCCCAAAUCAUUAAUUGUGUGGACCCCACCAUCUCUUCCUCGGCUCAAGAGAGGAGAAGAAACACCUGGAAGUCGUGGUUGGUUGUUACAGGGCCAGGGGGGUCUUGAGGAUAUGGUCAAGGGCCAUAUGUGUGGAGACGGUUGUCAAAGCUGAUGAGCAAGCAACCCUGCCACCUUAGGCAAGCACCAGGGAAACCCGAAGAUGGGUUUCAUCAUAGCAAAGGUGGUGGCGAAUGUCUAGGGGAACCUGCGAAUGCCCCAUGAGCCCUUCUGAUUGUGAUCAGCAGGGGAAAAACUCUCUUUCUAGCCUUCUAGGUGUUGCCAUAGAGAGGAGAAGAAAUACGUGGAAGUCGUGGUUGGUUGUUACAGGGCCAGGGGUCUUGAGGACAAAUAUGAGGAGACAGUUGUCAAAGCCAUACUGCAACCCCGACACACGGUGGUGAUCUUCCUCGCCUGCAUCGACUCCGGCCGCCUCUUCUUUGACUCCUGCAUGGGGUGGUCACCGAACGAGCACCACCGUGGCCUAUGGCCUUAUAGAACCACGAUGGUUGUGCCUUUGGCAACCACGGCAUGGAGACUCCGCCGUCCAGCAUGAGCUGUGUUUUGUCGGUGAAGCAGCUGUGCCUGCGCCGUCGCUCAUUCUCGAGUGGCGCCUCCGGUGGCACUUCUCCUUCCACUAUAGCAUAGGGUGGUCACCGAACGGGCACCACACGGGACCGCCAUGGUUGUGCCUUUGGCGACCACAGCAUCCAACACGAGUCGAGUUUUGUCAUCGAAGCAACUCUUCUUGUGUCGCCGCUCACUCUUGAGUGGCGCCUCACUUGGACGCUUCUUCUUCCAGUACGGCAUAGGAGGAGGGGAAAGCAUAUGGGAUCUACACGGUGUGAUGAGGAGAUCUAUCUAGGUUGGGUUGUCGAGGAAAAGUAGAGAGGGGGAAAUCCCAAUUUAAUUGUUGUAAUUGGCUGAGUGUUUGCUACAAUCUUGCAUGUGUAGUACUUGCGGUAUUGGAAGCACUAGUGUGGCCUCGCAGUCUGUCUUUUGUUUGUUUCAUUCUCUUUUUUUUUACUGGGAAUCAGAAAUAUUGUCAACAACCAAUGAAUGAGGCUGAACAUAAAUAUUGUCAACAGCCAUGUCUUUGGAAGCAGAA